UAAUUGAAUCUUUCUUUUCUUCUUAUUUUUAGCAUGCAACAAGGGCUUUUCCUUUAUUCAGGGCUCCAAUGUUAAAUAAAAACACACACAAACAGAAACAAGGGAAACUCAGUGCAUUAUAUACUUCGAAAAGGGUAGCAUUUGCAAACAAAAUGGAGCACACAAUCUUGGCCUGGGGAGCUUUGUUAGCUUCAAGAGAGACCAAUGACCUUACCAGUGGCAGUGUCGAGAUCAAUAUCAUAAAAGCAAGGCCUCGUUGGAAGCCCUGGCAUUGUACUCAUUGUCCCAACUAAAGGAUAAAUGAAACCAGCACCAAUGCUUGCCCUCACAUCCCUUAUUGGCAAAAUAAAUCCAGUCGGUGCUCCUUUCUCAGCUGCAUUGUGUGAAAAUGAGUACUGGGUUUUGGCCAUGCAGAUUGGUAGACCAGAGAACCCCUGCCUGCUGUACAUCUCAAUUUGCUUCUCAGCCUGGUUAUAUAAAAACAGAUAUCAAGUCACAAAAAUGUCCCUCUUUUUCCCCCUCUAAAGCACAAGGAAAAUAGCAUAUUCUAAGAACCAAGUGCAUAAAUAUGCCAUAGAUUUCAAAUAUGGAUUUGAUUUGAACUCUCAAGUUCAAAUUGUAUAAAUUUGAACCACAAUGCUGAUACAGAAUUUCAAUAUAAGCAUUUUAUCAACUAACGCUAAAUGUAACUGGAAAGACACAUUAUGCAUCUUCAUUAUGAAUCUGUAUCAAUUACAUCUUACUAAUGUUGCAUUAAUGCAUUUAGAAAAUAAAAAUAUUGAACCAGUUUGAUUGGAUUCAUUAUUAUUUGGACUCUUUAAUCUAAUAAAUUAAGCAUUUACUUCUGCAAUAAAUUAUCUUAAAUUUUUUAAUUGAAUGAUGUGACAAUCAAUUGUAGAAGUCUCUCUCUUUCUCAUACGUAUAGAUUCCAGGUGCUUCUAGAUACAUUUAACAGCUGCUUCUUGAUGAAAUAAGUCAACUGAAAUUCACAACUUCAUAGUUUAUUUUACCAGAUCAAACAUUUUUUUUUAUUACAAUUUUCAUUUCCACAACAACCAAUGUGUAUUUGCCUUAGCAUUUCAGUUAGAAAAUUUAUUUCUGAAUGUUUUUACCUCUUUUCAUAGCAGUUAAAGACAAUUCCUUAGGCACUUUGCAUGAAAAAAGAAAGAAAGGGCCUAAUAUUAUUAAAGCUGCAUGAGGUUUAUUUAGUUAAAUUGAAGAAAAGAAAUGAAUUCAGAAACACGCGAAUCAAAGGCAACCGCAUAAGGAACAAUUUCACCAAUAAGAUAUGAAACUUUGGAAGAAAGAUUGAAUUUGGAAAUAUUCCAAAACAAUAUGUGAAAAAGCUUUCACCUGCUCUGAAUACUCGACGCCCUUAGCACCAUAUGACCUUGCUAUAGCCUCUAUUUUCUCUUUGAUACUAAUAUCUAAAGGAUAUAAAAACUUCAAUGGCUGUGUCACAUUCUCACAGGCUCUUUGAACAGCAAUUCCUAGGUCCACCGCUCCCUUUCCACCAUGGGCAUGGUGUGUACAGACGACAGCAUCAUAUGCCCCAGCAGCCAAUGCUGCAUUUUUUACCGCAUUAAGUUCUGCUUCUGUAUCAGUUGAGAACAUGUUCACAGCAACAACGACAUUCACACCAUAAGACUUUGUGUUUGAGAUAUGCCUAGUCAGAUUCACACACCCAGCUUCAACCAAAGCCACAUUCUCAGUUGUGUAGGCAUGGCCUAGAGGCUUCCCAGCAACAACUUCUGGUCCACCACCAUGCAUCUUCAGGGCCCUAAUUGUUGCAACAAUAAUUGCACACUGAGGCAUUAAUCCACUAUAUCGGCAUUUUAUAUUCAUGAACUUCUCAGUUCCAAUAUCAGAACCAAAGCCUGCUUCUGUGACCACAAACCCACCAGGCCCUACCAAUUUUAGUGCAAUCUUAUCAGCAACAAUGGAAGAAUUGCCAUGUGCAAUGUUUGCAAAAGGACCAGCAUGAACAAGAACAGGUGUUCCUUCAAGGGUCUGCAUCAAUGUAGGAUUUAUGGCAUCCUUCAUUAGCACAGUCAAAGCACCUCCAACACCAAGAUCAUCAGCUGUUAUAGGGUCACCAGCUUUGCUAUUCCCAAUUACCAUUUUUCCAAGCCUCUCUCUCAUAUCAGCAAGAGAUGUCGUGAGGGCUAAAACUGCCAUUAUCUCACUAGCAACAGAAAUAUCAAAUCCUGUUUCUCUCAACUUCCCCUUUUCUUCAGGACCUUGGCCAAUGGUAAUCUUCCUCAAGAACCGGUCAUUCACAUCCAUCACUCUCCUCCAUGUAAUUGAAUCUGGAUCGAUAUCAAGCCUAGCAAAUUUCUGGACUUCUUGUGGGGUAAGGUCCUCUGGUUUUGUCUUGGUGAUACCUAGCUUCUUCAGACGCCUAAACAUUAUGUCACUAAAGCUUCUUUUUCCUUCUUUACUAGGUGGGCAUAACCGAUUGAAAAGAGCCUUAUCUGAUUGAGUAGACUCAUGGAAAAUCCUGGUAUCAAUAGCAGCAGCUAGGAGAUUGUUUGCAGCUGUUAUAGCAUGAAUAUCCCCCGUAAGGUGAAGAUUGAAUUCAUCCAUUGGAAUCACUUGACUGUAACCACCACCUGCUGCGCCCCCUUUAAUUCCAAAAGUGGGUCCUUGUGAUGGUUGACGAAGGCAGGUGACAACCUUCUUGUCAAGAAAUGCACCCAAAGCUUGACAAAGCCCAACCGUCGUAGUGGACUUGCCUUCCCCAAGUGGUGUAGGCGUAAUCCCUCCAACAACCACGUAGUACCCAUCAGCUGAUCCUUCAAGCUCAUCAAGAACAGACAAUAAUACCUUGGCCUUAUAUUUGCCAUAAAGAUCAUAAUGGUUGGGGCUAAGAUUGAGGUCCUUAGCAAUCUCAGAGAUAUGAAAAGGCUCAACUGAGUUAGCAAUGUCUAUAUCUGCUGGUACUGGUGACAAUACCUGCAGCUUCCGCACAUUCCUUGAUGAACUCAUGUGUUUAUUUUUUUUCUAAUUAAUUUUCUGGGUUUUGGGCUUACUUUCAAUUCUGCACAAAUCUAAGUCCAAACUCUACAAAUAGUUGUAUUUGAAAUCACUGCUUGAUGCAUUCGAUUGCGUGAAUACUUCUUAUCUGAAGGAGAGGUGGCAACUGGGCCACUGAAAAGCAAUAGGAUAACAUUACAGGUGAAUUGUAAAGCUGUGAGCGAGUGAUGCACGUUAACAGUACGAUGUCUG
rnacentral:misc_RNA from 1 species